UACGAAGGGGGCUAGCGUUGCUCGGAAUUACUGGGCGUAAAGGGCGCGUAGGCGGAUAUUUAAGUUGGGGGUGAAAUCCCGGGGCUCAACCUCGGAAUUGCCUUCAAAACUGGAUAUCUUGAGUUCGGGAGAGGUGAGUGGAACUCCGAGUGUAGAGGUGAAAUUCGUAGAUAUUCGGAAGAACACCAGUGGCGAAGGCGACUCACUGGCCCGAUACUGACGCUGAGGCGCGAAAGCGUGGGGAGCAAAACAGGAUUGAGAAACCCGUGG
rnacentral:rRNA from 1 species